ACAGGCCAAAAACAAGGCAGGAAGGGAGGCAUGCAAAGAGGGAGCAGGGAAGGUUUGGAAGAUAGAGUUAAAUCAAGGGCCCCGAACCUAUUUACAGGAGACACUGCCACAACUCAAGACAGAUCACUGCUGCUUCUCCUUCAGGAACGUGCAGUAAACGAGUGGCCCACUAAGUGCCUGGCAAUAACAAUGAGCCUGACAGGUGACUAUCGAGUAACCAUCUGACAUAAAGCUGCCAGAUAAACACGCGUAUUUACACACAUGUGAAGAGCCACUCCAGUGAGGUCCUACGUGCCCAGAAUAAUCGUGCGUCGAUUUGGCCAGACGGUGAGCUGAAAUCUAAUGGAUCGAUUAGUCCCUCGCAUGGCUCAUGGCAGCUGUGACCUGGGCCUGCAGACUGAGCCCAGGAGGUGCUCAGACUCCACAGUGCUGCUGGGACUAUGCAGGCUCCCCAAGGCUAACAAGAUGACUGUGACUAGAAGGCCCCUGGCUCCUCUCUGGAUAUGAGCUUCCUGCCAGUGUGUACCCUAGAAGGCAGAAGACGGCUCCCGCAGUUGCCUCCUGGCAUGUGGUCUCCCUGCCUAUUCUGGGAUCAGAACAGGCACCUCCUACAGCGAUCCAGUCUCACGCUCCACUCGCACCUUGAAACUUGCUUCCACAUGGGCACUAGUGCCAUGGCAUUGCCAUUUCAGCCUCCAUCUGUAGUGCUUGCAACCCAUACAUGCAGAGGUUCAACAACCAGCUGUUCCACUUCCAAUCCAG